AGAAUCAACGCUGGCGGCGUGCCUAACACAUGCAAGUCGAACGAGAAAGUGGAGCAAUCCACAAGUAAAGUGGCGCACGGGUGAGUAGCACGUGACUAACCUACCCUUGAGUGGGGGAUAACCUAGAGAAAUCUGGGCUAAUACCGCAUAAUACCUUCGGGUCAAAGGAGCAAUUCGCUUAAGGAGGGGGUCGCGGCCGAUUAGUUAGUUGGCGGGGUAAUGGCCCACCAAGACUAUGAUCGGUA
rnacentral:rRNA from 1 species